rnacentral:rRNA from 1 species
UACGAAGGGGGCUAGCGUUGCUCGGAAUUACUGGGCGUAAAGGGUGUGUAGGCGGAUACUUAAGUCGGGGGUGAAAGCCCGGGGCUCAACCUCGGAAUUGCCUUCGAUACUGGGUAUCUUGAGUUCGGAAGAGGUAAGUGGAACUCCGAGUGUAGAGGUGAAAUUCGUAGAUAUUCGGAAGAACACCAGUGGCGAAGGCGACUUACUGGUCCGAUACUGACGCUGAAACACGAAAGCGUGGGGAGCAAACAGG